GGCUGAAGACUUUGCCGGAUUAGCUGAGAGGUGGUGCAUGGCCGUCGUCAGUUCGUACUGUGAAGCAUCCUGUUAAGUCAGGCAACGAGCGAGACCCACGCCCACAGUUGCCAGCGUACUCUCUGGAGUGACGGGUACACUGUGGGGACCGCCGCUGCUAAAGCGGAGGAAGGAAUGGGCAACGGUAGGUCAGUAUGCCCCCGAAUAUCCCGGGCUACACGCGAGCUACAAUGGUUGGUACAAUGGGUAUCUACCCCGAAAGGGGACGGGAAUCUCCUAAAACCAAUCUUAGUUCGGAUUGAGGGCUGCAACUCGCCCUCAUGAAGCUGGAAUCCGUAGUAAUCGCGUUUCAACAGAACGCGGUGAAUACGUCCCUGCUCCUU
rnacentral:rRNA from 1 species